ensembl:misc_RNA 7SK 7SK RNA
GGAUGCGAGGGCGAUCUGACUGCGACAUCUGUCACCCAUUGAUCGCCAGGGUUGAUUCGGCUGAUCUGGCUGGCUAGGCGGGUGUCCCUUCCUCCCUCACGGCUCCGUGUGCGUCCCUCCCGAAGCUGCCCCUCGGUGGAAGAGGACACCACCCCCGGAGAGGAGGACCGGUCUUCGGUCAAGGGUAUACAUACGAGUAGCUGCGCUCCCCUGCGAGAACCUCCAAACAAGCGCUCAAGAAAUGUGUAGCAAUCCACUGAGGCAAAAUGUCUUAGAAUCCAGCAAAUCAGAAUGCUGGGGACCCAAAAAUGUCUUC